rnacentral:ncRNA from 2 species
ACGAGAACAGAAAUCUCGUGUGGAA